CAGUGUUGUAUUUUAAAAGAAUAAAAGCUUUGGGAGUUUUAGGUCCUAUAUAUAGGCAAACUGA
rnacentral:tRNA from 1 species